CAGCAGUGAGGAAUAUUGGUCAAUGGACGAGAGUCUGAACCAGCCAAGUAGCGUGAAGGAUGACUGCCCUAUGGGUUGUAAACUUCUUUUAUAUGGGAAUAAAGUAUUCCACGUGUGGGAUUUUGUAUGUACCAUAUGAAUAAGGAUCGGCUAACUCCGUGCCAGCAGCCGCGGUAAUACGGAGGAUCCGAGCGUUAUCCGGAUUUAUUGGGUUUAAAGGGAGCGUAGGUGGAUUGUUAAGUCAGUUGUGAAAGUUUGCGGCUCAACCGUAAAAUUGCAGUUGAAACUGGCAGUCUUGAGUACAGUAGAGGUGGGCGGAAUUCGUGGUGUAGCGGUGAAAUGCUUAGAUAUCACGAAGAACUCCGAUUGCGAAGGCAGCUCACUAGACUGCAACUGACACUGAUGCUCGAAAGUGUGGGUAUCAAACAGGAUUAGA
rnacentral:rRNA from 1 species